GAUCAAGCGUCUAAAGGGCAUCUGGUGGAUGCCUUGGCACUGAGAGGCGAUGAAGGACGCAGCACGUUGCGAUAAGCCAUGGGGAGCCGCGAGCAGGCUUUGAUCCGUGGAUUUCCGAAUGGGGCAACCCACCGCUUCGGCGGUAUCCUCACCUGAAUCCAUAGGGUGGGGAGGCGAACCCGGCGAACUGAAACAUCUAAGUAGCCGGAGGAAAGGACAUCAACCGAGACUCCGCUAGUAGUGGCGAGCGAACGCGGACCAGGCCAGUCAUUCAGUCUACAUAACCGGAACCGUCUGGAAAGGCGGGCCAGAGCGGGUGAUAGCCCCGUACGGGUAAACCGGACUGAAUGCUCGAGUAGGGCGGGGCACGUGAAACCCUGUCCGAACAUGGGGGGACCACCCUCCAAGCCUAAGUACUCCUCAGUGACCGAUAGUGCACCAGUACCGUGAGGGAAAGGUGAAAAGCACCCCGACGAGGGGAGUGAAACAGUUCCUGAAACCGGAUGCCUACAAGCAGUCGGAGCGGCCUUGCGCCGUGACGGCGUACCUUUUGUAUAAUGGGUCAGCGACUUACAGUAAGCAGCGAGCUUAAGGCGAUAGCCGGAGGCGCAGCGAAAGCGAGUCUGAACAGGGCGCUUGAGUUGCUUGCUGUAGACCCGAAACCCGGUGAUCUAGCCAUGGGCAGGUUGAAGGUGCGGUAACACGCACUGGAGGACCGAACUCACGCCUGUUGAAAAAGUCGGAGAUGACCUGUGGCUAGGGGUGAAAGGCCAAUCAAACCGGGAAAUAGCUGGUUCUCCGCGAAAGCUAUUUAGGUAGCGCGUCGGGCGAUUGCCCACGGGGGUAGAGCACUGGAUGGGCUAGGGGGCCUCGCGGCUUACCAAACCUAACCAAACUCCGAAUACCGUGGAGCACAGCCCGGCAGACAGACGGUGGGUGCUAAGGUCCAUCGUCGAGAGGGAAACAGCCCAGACCGCCAGCUAAGGUCCCCAAA
rnacentral:rRNA from 1 species